UACGGAGGGUGCGAGCGUUGUCCGGAAUCAUUGGGCGUAAAGGGCGCGUAGGUGGCCCGGUCAGUUCGUGGUGAAAGCGCGGGGCUCAACCCUGCGUCGGCCAUGAAUACUGCCGCGGCUGGAGCACUGUAGAGGCAGGCGGAAUUCCGGGUGUAGCGGUGGAAUGCGUAGAGAUCCGGAAGAACACCGGUGGCGAAGGCGGCCUGCUGGGCAGUUGCUGGACACUGAGGCGCGACAGCGUGGGGAG
rnacentral:rRNA from 1 species